rnacentral:lncRNA from 1 species
AAGAAAUGAAAACAAUAAUCAACAUAGUUAAUAUGGAGGGGUACAAAGAUAGAAAAAUAGUGUAGAUUCUAAAUGGGCCAAAACCCAAAAACUAAACUUAAUUAUAAAUAUAAUAAUAAAAAUAGCAUACAAAAAAAGAUACAGGAAAAAUGGCACAUGUAGAAAGUGGGAGAGAUGACAGUAUUGGACAAAGAUAACUUGAUUUUCAAUUUUUUUUUAAUUUUAUUUUAAAAGCUAUCAAUCGGAUUCUGACAUGUGGCAUGAGAAAAGAAAAAAAGAAAAAACACACACUCUCUAUUAUCUCUCUCUCACGCUAUCACAACAACAAAAUAUAAGCAGGAAACUAAUCUCUCAUAUGCUACUCUCUUCACAAACAUCACCCAUAUGC